GUGCCAGCAGCCGCGGUAAUACGUAGGGUGCGAGCGUUGUNCCGGAAUUACUGGGCGUAAAGAGCUCGUAGGUGGUUUGUCGCGUCGUCUGUGAAAUUCCGGGGCUUAACUCCGGGCGUGCAGGCGAUACGGGCAUAACUUGAGUGCUGUAGGGGAGACUGGAAUUCCUGGUGUAGCGGUGAAAUGCGCAGAUAUCAGGAGGAACACCGAUGGCGAAGGCAGGUCUCUGGGCAGUAACUGACGCUGAGGAGCGAAAGCAUGGGUAGCGAACAGGAUUAGAUACCCUGGUAGUCC
rnacentral:rRNA from 1 species